UCCCUGGUAGUUCAGAUGGUAAAGAAUCUGCCUGCAAUGCAGGAGACCUGGGUUCAAUCCCUAGGUUGGGAA
rfam:TPA: Bos taurus chromosome 12, whole genome shotgun sequence.